CCGAUUCCUGAACCUCCAUGAUUGAUUGAUCUCCAUCAUCUUCACGAUCUUCACGAUCGUGCACUAGUUCUGAAAGAAGAGACGUGAAUCUCUUCAUCGUCUUCACUCUCUAUACUUGUAUCUCGAAGGUUAUCCCGGUUUCUAUGUGCAUCGGAUCUCCAUAGAUGAACUCGGAUUUUGCAUUGAUCUGAAUCUCAAGCAUGCAUUAUUUCCAUAUUGUGCUGCCAAACUUGGUGUUUUUCUUCAUUUAUUCUUCACCACAACAGUUGGACAUAAAGGUUAGUCUCAAUGAAUCUUUACCAUUUGAAUUAGUUUAUUAAUGAUUUUUAAGUUAUUCAUUGAUGAAGUUAAGGCUAAUAGAUGAAAUUGGUUUGUUGAUUUUGAAACUCACGGCUGUUUGUGACAUGCUUUUAUCAAAAUUAGAGAAUGAAUAGAGGCUGACUAUGAUUACUAUAUCUAGAUAUAUGUUAUGGAAUAAUGGCAGUUGUAGUAAAUAAUACACAAUGGGUUACGGGAUAAUGUUGAUGCUUGUUGAUUUUUUUAAUAAAAGCUACAUAUAGAUAAGUAGAUGUAUAACCAGCCAUAAGUGUUUUUAGUGGCUCUUGAUGACAAGUUAUGAUGCCAUGUUCAUAUAUAUAUAUAUAUUAAUUUUUUCUUUUUUUAAUCCUAUCUAUGUUGUUGAUAUUAAUGCAUUGAAUUUGAUGUUACCUAAAACAAAAUUAUAUUCAUGUCCUCUAUUAUAAGUGGACAACCAUUCUUUAUGUUAGAUUUUAGAUAAAGAACGAAUAUUGAAGAUUGGAGUUGUAAGAAAUUAGGAGAUCCUAAUUUUAAAUAUGUAACAAAGUUCUAUAAUCACUUCAAUCCACAUUUAAAAAUUGUAUUUCUUUCUAAAAUGGGAUCAAACUUUUUCCUUCUUUCUUAUAAAUUUCAUUUGGGAAUGAUUUAAAAAUAAAUAAAUAAAAGCCCUUCUAAAUAUUAAAAAAACACUCUCUUAUAAAAUUUAAUUAGGUGGAUGGUUAGGUCAAAUUCGGGAUAGCUUCAUAUUUUUUGCUUUAACUGAAAAUUAAAAUCAAAAUUAAAGUAAUAAUUUUUAAGAUGUUGUAAAAGUUAUAUUAAACAUGAAAGAACUUAUUGUGUAAACAAAAAUAGAAUUAUAGAAUUCUUAUAAGAAAUAACAUUUUUAUGACUUCUAUAUGAAACUUUUUAAAAAAUUUAUCAGUUUUUCUUUUUAAAAAAUAAUUAAAUAGGUAUAAAAAACUUUUAUUCAACUUAAUUUUUUUUAACUCUUGAAAGUAAAUCCAAAUAAAAUUUAAAUAUAUUUGAAAAUCAUUUUCAAAAAUCCAAAAAAUCACCUAAAAAUAAUUUCAAAUUUUUUUUAUUUACAUUUAAAUACUAAGUGAUUCUUUUAAAAAUCAUUUGUAAUGUCAAAAUAUUUUUUUAUGGAUAAAAAUAUUACAAAUAAAAAACAUUUCAAUCACAAUUAAUUUAUUUUUAAUUCAUGAAAUUUCAUUUAUUGUUACUUAUUUUUUGGGAUUUAAUUCUUUACAAUUAUUUUUGAGUGUUUACAUAGAAUAAUUAGGUUAUGCCCAAAUUUAUUCCUUUAACUCUAUCCAUCAGAUAUAAGUAUCGUGAAAUUUUGGCCUGUCUCCACCUUUCUUCGCUUUUGACAUUGUCAUGCACUGCUUCCUCAACUCCAAACACAACCGCUGAGGAUCGAAGAAAAUGAGACAAUGGUCAAUGAAUAAUUUAUUAAUUUUUUUCUUAAUUUAAUAGCAUUGGAAUGUCAGUUGGAACAAACCAUUUGAUGAUCUUUUUCAUAAGUAUCCAUUUAGAUCAUAGUCUUUUUAAAAUAUUAGAAUAAAUCAAUUAGUCUAAGCUAUAUCAUUUAUAAUUUUUUUAUUAUUAAUAUGAUACCUAUCCUUUCACGGAAUUGAAAUAAAAUAUGAAUAAUUAAAAAAUGUCAACUAUCCAUGAUAUUUGAUACCAAACUUUUCUAAUACAACAUGAUAUCAUGUUGAAUGAAAUGGGAAUCACCAAAUGUUCUCAAAUCAAAGAUAUAUCUACAGGGGACACGUCAAAUUCUCUUUUUAUAAUCAAAGGCUUCCAAAAAAAUUCAACCAUAGCAUAUCUCAAAGAUUAGUCAAAUUCCAUUAUUUUUAUAGACUUCUAACAAUUCAAGAAAUUGACAUUAAUAAUCCCAAACACAAUAUUCUGCAACUUUACAUUAUUCUUUUUAUUGUAAUUGAAGAGGAAUACCAACUUAGUCAAAUAGAAAAUAAAUCAUGAAAGCUGAAUAAUACAAAUAUUCAGUGAAAUCUUUGGCAUGUUAUUUCUUUGCAGCUUCAACAUGGUGGCAUGUCGGAUGGAGGAGGCAGCAUUUGAGCUUCUGGGUGUUU
rnacentral:lncRNA from 1 species